rnacentral:rRNA from 1 species
UACGUAGGGGGCAAGCGUUGUCCGGAAUCAUUGGGCGUAAAGAGCGCGUAGGCGGUCCGGUAAGUCCGCUGUGAAAGUCAAGGGCUCAACCCUUGAAUGCCGGUGGAUACUGUCGGGCUAGAGUCCGGAAGAGGCGAGUGGAAUUCCUGGUGUAGCGGUGAAAUGCGCAGAUAUCGUGAGGAAGACCAGUGGCGAAGGCGGAUCUCUGGACAAAUCCUGACGCUGAGGCGCGAAGGCUAGGGGAGCAAACGGG